CUGACGGAGCAAUGCCGCGUGAAGGAUGAAUGCCUAUGGGUUGUAAACUUCUUUUCUCAGAGAAGAAUUUUGACGGUAUCUGAGGAAUAAGCAUCGGCUAACUCCGUGCCAGCAGCCGCGGUAAGACGGAGGAUGCAAGCGUUAUCCGGAUUAAUUGGGCGUAAAGCGUCUGUAGGUGGUUUCAUAAGUCUACUGCUAAAAAUCAGGGCCUAACCCUGGGCAGGCAGAGGAAACUAUUAGACUUGAGUACGGUAGGGGCAAAGGGAAUUCCCGGUGAAGCGGUGAAAUGCGUAGAGAUCGGGAGGAACACCAAUGGCGAAGGCACUCUGCUGGGCCGUAACUGACACUGAGAGACGAAAGCUAGGGUAGCAAAUGGGAUUA
rnacentral:rRNA from 1 species